AUGAGCAAGAGGGCGUGGCUAGAGACGCCCAGAUUCUUUCACUUUCCUCUCCUUUUCUGCAAGAGUUGGGAGAAGAGAAUAUUUUUGUCUCCCGCCUCCAGCCUCGGAACCUCAGGCAGCGCAGAGGCCUCUGGGAAGCAGGAAGCCGGAAGUCACGAUUGUGCAGCCCAGCUUCCCCGCGAAUCCUCCGGGUUAAGGGAGCCUGGAGUGCCCGGGAUGGCCCUGCAGAUGGACAGACUCCCAGCCCAGGUAAGUGCAUUCCAGUCCCCCAGGGGAGCCCCCUCGUCCAGGGCUGCCCUUCCCUGGCUCUGACCUGGAGGUCUGGGAAGCUGCGACCUCCUUCCUGCUGCCCAUGUGUGUCCCCAUAGCCCAGGUAGGAGGAACAGCCCUUCCUGGCUCUCCUCUCCCUGGCUUGGGGGGGGGGGAAUUCCUGGGCCCUCGGGUGGCUCAGACCCCACGAGCUCCCCAAGGUGCUGCCUCCCAGGCCGAGUUUCUCUCUGGGCACAAGGAGUGCCGAGGAUGACCAUCUCCUUCCCUGGCUGAAGAUGGAGGCUAUGCUUUCAGCAAUCUAUAUAAUAAUCCUCUGAGGUAAAUGUUUUUAUUUUCAUUAUUUUACAGUUGAGGAAACUGAGGCAAACAGAGGUUAAGUGACUUUUCAGAGUCAUGUAGCAUGUAAGUGUCUGAGGUGGGAUUGGAAAGCAGAUUUUCAUGAAUUUCUACCAUUGUAGAACUACUAUUUCUAUGUUUGCCUAUUUUACCACAGCCCCCUCUAACUGAUAGUUUUCUAGCUUUUUUUCCCUUCCUUCCUUCCCUUCCUUCCCUUCCUUCCUUCCUUCCUUCCUUCCUUCCUUCCUUCCUUCCUUCCUUCCUUCCUUCCUUCCUUCCUUCCU
rnacentral:lncRNA from 1 species